rnacentral:lncRNA from 1 species
CCCAUUGCUAACUAUAAAAGGGGUCCUACAUUGGGGUUUUAAUUCAUUCAGAAAUCCUAAUAUCUUCUUUUUUGCACAAGUCUCCCCUCUUAUCCAAUUAUUCCCUUUCUUUCCUUGUUAGGACAAGUCUUAAAAUAGUAAACACAAGUCCGAUUUUAGGACAAGGCCCUAAGAAGAGAUAUAAGUAAGAUAAAGAGACAAGAAAGGUAG